GUGCCAGCAGCCGCGGUAAUUCCAGCUCCAAUAGCGUAUAUUAAAGUUGUUGUGGUUAAAAAGCUCGUAGUUGAACCUUGGGCCUGGCUGGCCGGUCCGCCUCACCGCGUGCACUGGUCCGGCCGGGCCUUUCCCUCUGUGGAACCCCAUACCCUUCACUGGGCGUGGCGGGGAAACAGGACAUUUACUUUGAAAAAAUUAGAGUGCUCCAGGCAGGCCUAUGCUCGAAUACAUUAGCAUGGAAUAAUAAAAUAGGACGCGCGGUUCUAUUUUGUUGGUUUAUAGGACCGCCGUAAUGAUUAAUAGGGACAGUCGGGGGCAUCAGUAUUCAACUGUCAGAGGUGAAAUUCUUGGAUCAGUUGAAGACUAACUACUGCGAAAGCAUUUGCCAAGGAUGUUUUCAUUAAUCAGGAACGAAAGUUAGGGGAUCGAAGACGAUCAGAUACCGACGUAGUCUUAACCAUAAACUAUGCCGACUAGGGAUCGGACGGUGUUAUUCAUGACCCGUUCGGCACCUUACGAGAAAUCAAAGUGCUUGGGCUCCAGGGGGAGUAUGGUCGCAAGGCUGAAACUUAAAGAAAUUGACGGAAGGGCACCACCAGGGGUGGAGCCUGCGGCUUAAUUUGACUCAACACGGGGAAACUCACCAGGUCCAGACACAAUAAGGAUUGACAGAUUGAGAGCUCUUUCUUGAUUUUGUGGUGGUGGUGCAUGGCCGUUCUUAGUUGGUGGGGUGACCUGUCUGCUUAAUUGCGAUAACGAACGAGACCUUACCUGCUAAAUAGCCCGCAUUGCUCCGGCAGUGCGCUGGCUUCUUAGAGGGACUUUCGGCUCAAGCCGAAAGGAAGUU
rnacentral:rRNA from 1 species